rnacentral:rRNA from 1 species
CAGUAGCCACGGUAAAACGUAGGGUGCGAGCGUUAAUCGGAUUUACUGGGCGUAAAGCGCACGUAGGCGGACUGGAAAGUCAGAGGUGAAAUCCCAGGGCUCAACCUUGGAACUGCCUUUGAAACUAUCAGUCUGGAGUUCGAGAGAGAUGAGUGGAAUUCCGAGUGUAGAGGUGAAAUUCGUAGAUAUUCGGAGGAACACCAGUGGCGAAGGCGGCUCACUGGCUCGAUACUGACGCUGAGGUGCGAAAGCGUGGGGAGCAAACAGGAUUAGAUACCCCUGUAGUCCCUGUCUCUUAUAC